rfam:Caenorhabditis japonica strain DF5081 Contig17800.10, whole genome shotgun sequence.
CCAACGGCCCUCUUUAGGGCCACAAUCUUAAUAAUCCUCAUUUUU